rnacentral:rRNA from 1 species
UACGGAGGGUGCGAGCGUUGUCCGGAAUCACUGGGCGUAAAGGGCGCGUAGGCGGCGCGGGAAGUCAUCGGUGAAAGUUCAGGGCUCAACCCUGAAUCGGCCGGUGAUACUCUCGUGCUCGAGCACUGUAGAGGCAGGUGGAAUUCCGGGUGUAGCGGUGGAAUGCGUAGAGAUCCGGAAGAACACCAGUGGCGAAGGCGGUUAGCUGGGCAGUUGCUGACACUGAUGCGCGACAGCGGUGGGGAGCAAACAGG